GAUCCUGGCUCAGGAUGAACGCUGGCGGCGUGCUUAACACAUGCAAGUCGAACGAAGCACCUUGAUUUGAUUCUUCGGAUGAAGAUCUUGGUGACUGAGUGGCGGACGGGUGAGUAACGCGUGGGUAACCUGCCUCAUACAGGGGGAUAACAGUUAGAAAUGACUGCUAAUACCGCAUAAGACCACAGCACCGCAGUGGGUGCGGAAAGGGGUAAAAACCGUCCGGGUGGUAUGAGAGUCCGGGACCCCGGCGUU
rnacentral:rRNA from 1 species